CAACAUUCAAUUCAUAUAAAACAAUUU
rnacentral:miRNA from 1 species